rnacentral:lncRNA from 1 species
UCUAUUUUGAUUUAUGCCUUCUGUUCUUUUCUUUUAAUGAAUGAAACCAUGCAUUUUGCUACNAAAAUUCAUACACAAUGGAUGCACACUUAAUCAGCACAAUGAACAUAAAUCUGCAACUUAUUCUCAACAGAACUUAGNUGACAAAAACGCAACUGAAUUGGCUAGAUUUAGCAGUUCAUGUUAAUUGGAAAAUUGAAAGCUUCCAGCAACUUUUAAUGAUCAAAUGUGACUUAUAUCAAUGAUCAAAUUAAACAGUUCACUCCUAAAUCAAAUUUUGACUAUAUGAGUUGUCAUUUCAA